AUGAGUAAACGGAAAUUGGGGAAGAGGCAGAAAUCUCAUGAAACGCACUUCAAAUCCGGCUGGGCGGCUGGCUGCAUGCCGUCUGCAGCUGCACAGCGCCGGGCGUCGACUGCCGAGUACGGUCUGGGCGGCUGCGGGCUGCUGGCUGGGCGCGAUGGUGCAGGGAAGGGGCGGGUAGAGUCGACGGCGAUGCACGGAAUCAGGCGGAAAGAUCGGCAGGAGCGCAGGGCAGUCGCGAGCGAAAUCGGGGACGGGAGGCAGUGCGCAGUGGCUGUCCUGGCGGCUACCGCGGCUGUGUGA
rnacentral:rRNA from 1 species